CCCGCUGAACUUAAGCAUAUCAGUAAGCGGAGGAAAAGAAACUAACAAGGAUUCCGUAAGUAACGGCGAGUGAAAACGGAUGAGCCCAGCGCGUAAUCCUUCAGGCUCUUCGCCUGUUUGGAGGUGUCGCGUAUAGGUGUAGCCUUCUGGCUUGACUGCUGCCUGAACUCCGCUGGAAUGCAGGGAUCUGAGAGGGUCUAAAACCCGUUCGGGUGGCGGUCGUGUCGGUCGGUUGCUCCUCUGGAGUCGAGUUGCUUGAGAGUGCAGCUCAAAGUAGGUGGUAUACCACAUCUAAGGCUAAAUACGAUUCUGAUUCCGAUAGCGAACAAGUACCGUGAGGGAAAGUUGCAAAGAACUUUGAAAAGAGAGUUCAAGAGGACGUGAAACCACAUGGAUAGAAACGGAUAGAGUUAACAUCACCGGCGGUGUUCAGUGCUUUUGGGUGCCAUAGCGUGCGUUGCUUCCUCUCGGGGAGGUGCGUGCGUCGUUGGAGUGCCCUUAGGUACGCUUUCACUGCUGGUAUGCGCUGAAACGCUCGGACCCCCCCUGGAACGCUCGGUGCGUGGCCCGCCUUGUGCGGUCACCAGCCCGUGGCAGUUACAGUGGAUGGGACGUCGAGUGGCUGCAAAGCCUUGUUCUGCGUGUUCCUCUCUGGUGCCUAUGCGCUGCGUUCUCGCUAUAUCGUAAGGUAUACGGGUUUGCUUCGGUGUUCGUGCUGGAGGGAUGAUUCUCGUGGGGCUUGUAUUCGGCGUCGAAACGUUGACCACCUAUCCGACCCGUCUUGAAACACGG
rnacentral:rRNA from 1 species